rnacentral:lncRNA from 1 species
AUGGAGGGGUCUAUCUCUGAAAGCUUAGGCAUGAACUGGUGAAGACUGGUUGUAGUGAGCAAGCCAAACAAACCCAGAAAGACAUACCCUAUAAGAGGAGUGAUAUAAUUCUAUCAUUUGUGACAUUUGGUGGAUUUUUGUACCCCACUCAAAUACUACCUGUGAAGCAUUAUACUAACAUUUAAAUAGCCCUUUAUGAUAUUGUCAUAGGUAUGUGUAUGCUGCAAUGAGGCAAAGGGGUUAAUUUUAAAAGGGACUACUUAAGAGUGUGGUCACCAGAAAUUUAAUUUAUUCCAAAGAGGUUUAUUUACAUUUAUUUACAAAAUGAAGAAAGAAUGAAAUAAGAAAAUCAGAAAGAGGAUAAAGUAAAUCUCUCCUGAGGUUAGUUUUUUUUUUUUUUCAGAAAAUCCAGCAGUUAAGAGUCAGCUUUUCAUUCACCACAUGUCAGUUCAAAGAAAGAGAUUUUAGAACAGCCUUACCAGGAACAGGGUCUUGGGUCCAGCCUCCACUCCAAAGAAUGAAGAAUUGUCUCCAGUCUCCACUUCCAGGUUUAGCGGACGCCCAUAUGGGAGCUUUUCUUCAAGUGAUUCUUUUUUUCUGAUGAAUAAAAGGUAGAGGAAGUUCAUCCCUGUUCCUAAUAAUGGUAACUUCUACGGCAACUGAUCUACAACCGAGUCAUGUAGAAUUUCCUAGAGAAAUCGAAAGUUAAAAGAUGUAUCCAUGAUUACAUGACCAAGAUAUGUUUGACACAAGACUUGAAUGCAGGUCUUCUAUCAGAACUGGAAAGAAAAUUCAGUGCUCAAAUUUGAUACUCAAAAGAAGCAUAAGAAAAGAAAUUCUUCCCAACAAGACAUUUAUAUAUUCAAGAGGCAAAAAGCAACAAUAAGGU